UUCAAAUCCAUUUAUUUUCAUCUCUCUCAUUGAGAGACACCUGCAACCCAUUUGAAGCCCCAUUCAAAUCCAUUCAUUUUCAUCUCUCUGCACUCCCCUUCCUUCCCCUCAUCCGAUCAAGCUCCUCCGGUGACUGGAGCUCCGACCAAUUCCCAACUCACUCACACACACCUCUUAACCUACAAACCCUUCUUCCCUCUUUGUAUCAUCCUGCACACCCUCAUGUCUGUGGUGGCUGGUGGGUGACGUCGAAGCGGCGGCGGGGCGGAAUAACACGUCGAAGCAGCGGCGGCGGCGCAGUGGGGAACUCAAUGACGAUUCAAACUCACUACAACCGGCAACAAAACACCGAUAAAACUCACCUGUAGAGUCAAAUUAGACGAAAUCAAGCCAAAUCAGCUUAAAUCUAUGCAAACUUCGCAUCAACCCUAGGCAAAUUGUGGCGUAUGUAUAGUUCAACUUCAGGAGGAGCUGGUGUUCCAUGUGCGUGUAUGGUGUGAGAUGAGUUCUUUCUGGUACAGAAAGGGCAAAAAAAAGGAAUAAUGAGUUUCAGGGGAAUGAAUAAUAAUGUGAGAGUUAAAUACGUGGCAAAGCAUAAGGAGGGAUCGGAUUCAUAGUCGUUCGGGCCAGCAAUGGUGAAAAAAAGAUGACGAUGGUAACUAGCUUGGCAGCGGUUGAUGGCUCGGUUCGAGGAUUAUCGGUGGUGGUUCCGACGGCAGCGGCGGACCGUCGGGACUCUACUUGUUCCCUCUUUUUAGAUUUUUCCACUGAUGAUUUUGGUUUCGGUCGGUUAGGGUUUUUUACGUCAGCUGACGUCACUCCGGCGGAUUUGUCGACUUCAAUUUGGUUCAUGGCGCAUCACUUGCGGUGUAUUUACAUUUAUUCAGGAAGAUUAUUUAUUUAUUGAGCUUCCAUAGUAAUAUUGAUGAACUGUCAACCAUUUUUCUCAGUGUAAAAAGUUGAGUUGGUAGAACGUA